GACGAACGCUGGCGGCGUGCCUAACACAUGCAAGUCGAACGUGAAGCCGGUGCUUGCACCGGUGGAAAGUGGCGAACGGGUGAGUAACACGUGAGAAACCUGCCCCGGAGACCGGGACAACCAUUGGAAACGAUGGCUAAUACCGGAUACCCCCGGUUGGUCGCAUGACCAGCCGAGGAAAGGCUCUGGCGCUCUGGGAGGGUCUCGCGGCCUAUCAGUUAGUUGGUGGGGUAACGGCCUACCAAGACAUCGACGGGUAGCUGGUCUGAGAGGACGAUCAGCCACAUUGGGACUGAGACACGGCCCAGACUCCUACGGGAGGCAGCAGUGGGGAAUAUUGCGCAAUGGGCGAAAGCCUGACGCAGCAACGCCGCGUGAGGGAUGACGGCUUUCGGGUUGUAAACCUCUUUCAGUGAUGACGAAAAUGACGGUAGUCACAGAAGAAGGUCCGGCCAACUACGUG
rnacentral:rRNA from 1 species